GCCCAAGCCCCGGGCACUGUGCCUCACCCUGGACGGGGUGGUCUCUCACCACCCCCAUGCCUGGGUGGGCAGGGAUGGGUACCACUGAGAUGCCUGUGUACUGGUGGUGGAAUCAUUUGCCUGAGGGCAUGGAGCUGGUGGCACCUGGCACAUAUUGGGUGGGAGCCUUUUCUCCAGGCCUGUCCCCAGGGCACAUUGUCCCCUAAAGCCUGAGGUCACAUGGUGGAGGGGCUCCUGUCACUGCCUCAGGUUAACUCUGAACCUUGGCUAUUUCCCCCCAAUUCUCACUGCAUGAAAACCCAGUUGUCACCCAGGAAACUCGCUGGCAUCCACCAGGGUCCACCUGGAGGGCAGCGCUGGCCCCUGGGGGCCCUCCAUCCAAGCCUGGUUUUUCUGUAAUUUGGCCGCCCAGGACUUUUUAAAAGUGGGCAGGGAGCUCCUGGGACCCCGAGUUAGGGGAAAAGUCUUACACACUGUCUCCUCUCCUUGCAUCCACAGUAGCCACUGGUCGGACUAUGACAAAAGCCGGCCCUCUGGUCAACUGUCACUGAGGCCACCAGAAAAAUCACGACUCAGAUCACACCAUGUGGCUGAGCCAAAGACUGGUGGGACAUGUUCAGCGCUCACAGGGACACCUUUCCAGAGAUGUGGUGAGCAGAGAUGGACAGAGGCUGCUGGUCCAUCUCGACGCCACUUCCAGGGUUCAGCUUGGAGCCUGUCGUCCUUACAGCCUGGGGACAUUCUAAAUGUCUGCUAUUACCGGCACCUCCUCCCACCCCAAGAGGUCAGAAACCCAGACACGGGACCAGGGCCACCUGACCAGCUCACAGGCAGCAUGCCUGGUCAUCUCCAGCAGCACUGCCAGCUACAUAAUAAUUUUUAACUGUAGUUUUGCAACUGCAGUUAGUAAUCAAAAGUCAAAAGUCUUACAGUAAAUCCGAUAAGAGAAACAAAGUAACUACCAGAAAAGGGAGGAAUUCAAGUGAGGAAAAGGGUUAACAGGACCAGCUCAGGCUGAGCCCGUUGAGACAGAAAAGCUUGGCUCACAUAUCCUCUGAGAGAAAAUGUGAGUGAGGAGGUCAGCCAUCGUAAGGCAUCAGGACAUAAACAAACCAUUUUAGACCAAACUGUUUCCUGGAAGGGAUUGCCUCUCAUUUUUAUUACAUCCAAAGUGGAUGGAGGUAUGGCAAAAAAAAAAAAAAAAGAAGAAGAAGAAGGAAUAAAGACUUAAGGUUUUAUGGAGAAAAUUCUGAG
rnacentral:lncRNA from 1 species